UUACUCUGUAAUCUGUGUUCAUUCAUGAUAAAAUCCUCUACAUUUAAUGCAUUUUGUAAGGAUGGUGAUCUUUUGCUUAUUGUAUUUUUGCAAAUCACGCAAGCAGGCAUCUUCUCGGGGUAUUUUUUCACACACAAGAGUAUCGCCAACAAAAUUACACACAAAAUGAUAUCAAUUUAACGUUUUUAUUGAUUAAUGUACGGUGAAAAUUUGCAAAUUGUAGAGAGCAAUACAGAACAUCCGAUACUCUCCACAACCAACACAAUAUGCUGAAUUGUUUUGUAUUCACUUAUUUUUUGUAUAUUUUUCUUGUUGAAAAGGUCAUGUACCGUUAAUGAAUAAAUAAAUAAAUAUUAGAAGUUUAAUUUAUUGUAAUUUUUUCUUUAUAGCCCCUGUAGUUCCCGUACACAAACCUCAAGGUUCUUGAGAUAUUCAUUCAUUGUCUCGAAUUUGAUGUCCUGAGUGGAUAGGUAACUUUCAACUGUAAAUUGUUUCGAGUUGAAAAUUGUCUAUCGUCUGAGAAUAAUCUGUAGAUUCCACUUGUGGUCUUCUUGGGGAAAUUCGAAAUUGAUUCAGACUAAUAUACUCCAUGUAAUAAGAGUGACUGUUAAGCACGAAAAAGUCAAAUACAAUGUGUUGUAUUUUAUUAGACAUUUAUGUGAAAUGCAGAAAUCUCCAUCUAAAAAUGUUAUUCCUAAAUUCAAAGAUUUUUAGAAGUCGCAAUAAUUAAUUCAAAAGUAUCUUGAUAUCAAAUUGGGGACAAAUUAAUUAAUUAUGUCCAGAAUCUUGUGAUUUGGACAUGGAAAAGUUCGAACAAACCGUAUUUAAAAUUUUGUGAAGUAUCCAAAAAUAAAAAAUCUCAUUUCGUUCUCUAGACACUCCAAGUGGUCACUUUGCGCGAAAUUCACUGAAUAUCAAUGUAGAUUUAUGAGAGGAGGAGACAGAACUACCCUUGCUUUAAGACUGAUUGAAAAUAUGUAAGCAUUGCCUCCUUACAAUAUAAAAGUUAGAAAUGCUUCUUUCAUAAUAAUUUAUUUUAAUUCUCUAAUUAAUCUAAUAAUUGGUGCAUUCAUGGACAUUGGACAUAUUUUGUUGAUUUGUGGUGUAUAAUGUGGUGGGGUUUAGACUUCACCGCAUCGAUUUUCAUUUGUUUCAUGUAUUCAUUUGAUUUCAAUAAAGCAAUUUCAAAAAUGAACCAUUUUUUUCAUUGAGAGGGCUUACAGACAUCAAAUUAAUUGAACUAAACACAGAAUUACAUGAUUUUUACUAUUAUGUGUGUAAAAAUGAAACUCACACUUCCUUAGAUGAGAAGUCUGAGUGAACAUGUUUCAUUUUUAUGACUUUUUUUUGACAGUUUUGUUUAUUUAGAUUUUCCGUAAUUAUGAGUAGUAUUUAGAAGCUAAUAGCAUUAAUUUCCAAUUUAUAAGAUGGUUUUCUCUUCUUUUGUACAUUGGAAGUUAAUAACAGUAAUUUGAUGCCCGUCUCUAUAAACAGGUUUUAUUUAUACAAGUUCCAACAAAAUGUUACGAGAAAUAUCUUACCUAUAAACAGAAAUCGGAAAUUAAUGAUAUUAGCUUCUAAAUACUACUUAUAAUUACGGAAAAUCUAAAUAAAUAAAACUGUCAAAGAAAAAUCAUAAAAAUGAAACAUAUUCACCCAGACUUCUCGUCUAAGGAAAUGUGAGAUUCAUUUUUACAUGUGUUUCGCUAUCAUCUCAAGUAUCAUCACCUUGGAUAGAGAAACAUGUAUCAUGGUUAAAUAACUCAUGUUAGCGAAAAUUACGUAAUUCAGUUAUGGAUUAUCAUCAAUUAACUAUUAAACUAAUAUCCACACACAAAUGUCAACAGAAUAACAUAUCUACCUCAAUGAAAUAUUCUUUAAUGAAAUUCAUGCAGAAUUUCAGAUUGAUGUUUUCAGGAAUAUGAAACUUUAAAGUCAUUUUUUACAUGUAUUUGCACACAUUACAAAUAAAAUGAUUUGGGAAAGUACAUGAAAUGUGGAUAACUUAUUAUUAUAUACACUAAAAAGAAAAGGGCAUUUACCUAGGCAAGAACUUUAAAAUAAUACUAGUGUAUCACUAAUGAUUAUGUAAAAAAGUCAGAAUAAGUUUAAUGAAAACAAAUUGCCAACUAAAUGGCUCUAAAAAUUCAACAAUGAUGUUUAUAAAUUACUGAUUUGACUUAAACAAUAAUCACAGUUACCAUAGAGUUCUUAUUAACAAAUCUUAACCACAUUAGAUAUGAUUGAGCUUCUUAUAUUUUGUGAUAAAAACUUAGUAUAGUAAAAUAUCCUAGAUAACAAGUUCAAUGGAAAUGUAGGAACCUGAAAAACUAAUUAAUAUUAGAAAGACAUAAGUUCAUUUUUCAUUUUCCUGAUUAUUGACUAACACUUUUAUCCAUAACCACUGGGUACCAAAAAACUAAAUAUUUCGAGGAAAACAACAUUUUUGAUUGAAAACUUUCAAAUACAUGUAAUUUAAUGACUAAUUGAAUGUAGUUCUAUUCAUGCACUGGAUUUUCAAAUAUCACAGAGAAAGCAUAAUAAAACAAUUUUUUCAACUAUUGCUGCAAAAUAAUAAAUUUUAACUUCAACUACCAAUAAUAAAUUAGAUAAAUUAUAAAAAUCACAACUACUACUACGUUAAUUCUUUGGGCUGAAACUCUUAACUUGAGCCUGAUACAAUUAAACAUUGACAAAUAUAUGCUUCAGUAUAUCCUUAAAAAUUGAUACACACUUAGUACGUUUUUUGGCAACAACCAUAGAAGAAAAA